UACGGGGGGAGCAAGCGUUGUUCGGAUUUACUGGGCGUAAAGGGCGCGUAGGCGGCCAGCACAAGUCAGUUGUGAAAUCUCCGGGCUUAACUCGGAAAGGUCAACUGAUACUGUGCGGCUAGGAGUGCAGGAAGGGCAACUGGAAUUCUCGGUGUAGCGGUGAAAUGCGUAGAUAUCGAGAGGAACACCUGCGGCGAAGGCGGGUUGCUGGGCUGACACUGACGCUGAUGCGCGAAAGCCAGGGGAGCGAACGGG
rnacentral:rRNA from 1 species